rnacentral:rRNA from 1 species
ACGCUCGACACCUACGGGGGCAGCAGUGAGGAAUAUUGGUCAAUGGACGCAAGUCUGAACCAGCCAUGCCGCGUGCAGGAUGACGGCUCUAUGAGUUGUAAACUGCUUUUGACGAGGGUAAACGCAGAUACGUGUAUCUGUCUGAAAGUAUCGUACGAAUAAGGAUCGGCUAACUCCGUGCCAGUAGCCGCGGUAAUCUGAGCGGGCUGGCAAGGC